rnacentral:rRNA from 1 species
UACGUAGGUGGCAAGCGUUAUCCGGAAUUACUGGGUGUAAAGGGAGCGCAGGCGGGCUCUCAAGUUGGAUGUGAAAUACCGCGGCUCAACCGCGGGGCUGCAUCCAAAACUGGGAGUCUUGAGUGAAGUAGAGGUAGGCGGAAUUCCUAGUGUAGCGGUGAAAUGCGUAGAUAUUAGGAGGAACACCAGUGGCGAAGGCGGCCUACUGGGCUUUUACUGACGCUGAGGCUCGAAAGCGUGGGGAGCAAACAGG